rnacentral:tRNA from 1 species
GAUGAUGUAGCUCAGAGGUACAGCACCUCCCUAGUAAGUGAGGACCUGGAUUCAAUCCCUAGCACCACCA